AUUGCGGCAAACGGACACGUCUCUUUGUUCGUAAAGGGCACACACAUUGUGGAUUUAUACGUCACCGAUGCAAGACACUUGAUCGCCAUCAAUCGGUAAAAAUUAAUAUAGUGUAUUGUGUUUCACAUCGGCGCUGACGUUCCGUAUCGUAAGCUUGCCCUUCGACCGAUACCCCCUCCCAGGCCCUCUCAGAUUUCACGGUUCAGGUCUGGACUGAUUCAGUAUACUGGGAGAAGAGCCUAAGAGUCAGUCUCCGGCUAAAAAACCUUGUCAGGUCGAUCGGAGUCGUUGAAUGUGGAAAAACGACUACUUACCAUGUAUUUUUCUAACAAAGACAAUAUACGCCAAACGAAAAUGUGAUCUCAAUCCUAGCUGGCGAUUAGGCCUCUAGAUAAUCGCUCCCUAUUCAGCUUAGAUCUACAUAAGCAUGAAUUUUUUAAUGAGCGGUUAGCCGUGAUGUACCAACACGGUUCUCUUGCGAGUACCGUCAUAGCCCAUACAACUGAUGCAUAAUCACACAUAUCCCAUCUGAUGAUUGGUCGGGAUAUCGUCGGAGCGCCAAGCCCCAUGAAGAAUUUCCGAAGAGUCGAUAAACCAUACUGUCCCAGUAAUUCAUUACUGUUAGUUUGGACAAAUACGAGAUCCCGCGUGUUAACUGGAUUAAAUGUUUCGAGACCAAGACUCGAGAAGUUUUCUGAAAAACGGAACCAUAGGCGCUAGCUGAGUCGCAAUCUCCUCCCGUUCAGUCCACAUCAGAUGCCUCUUCGUCUAAGAGAAACUGUAGUUCAUGGUUUAAAAUUGAGCAUACUGCGUACGUGACAUUAAGCAACACUUAAAAAAGAAUUAGGAUGUGAUUCGCUUGUUGCUUCAAAAAGGGUUCACUAGACCAUUCAACUAUCGGUGGAAGAAGGGGGACCGUCAUAAACUCCUGCAAAAGUGCGAGAUGAACGCGACAUUAAUUUUAUGACAGGAAGAUUGUCGAAGCCUCGGAUAGAGCAAGUUGUGUAAAGCGUACAUGAAUGCCAUGGAGUAGCAGAAUACAAGUUUAUGGCAACUUAUCGUGUGCAUCUAUUGCUAGUUGUUCGCAAGGGCUCCACAAAGCCAAUACAGACUCCAUCGUUCAUUUAGUCAUUGGAAGAUGUUUGGUGUGGCAAUCUGUUUACACUUGCUGCUUCUGUUAAGAUAGCAGUUUCUGACCAAGUUUUUCGGAGCUCGUAUUUAAUAUUGGCUUAAUAUAAA
rnacentral:lncRNA from 1 species